AGAGAUGUGUGAUGACGCAUAUCAAUAAGCGGAGGAAAAGAAACUAACAAGGAUUCCCUUAGUAACGGCGAGUGAAGCGGGAAGAGCUCAAAUUUGAAAUCUUCAAGGUUCUACCUUGACGAAUUGUAGUUUAAAGAAGUGUUUUCUGUUGGAGUUUUGGUAAAAGUUCUUUGGAAUAGGACAUCAUAGAGGGUGAGAAUCCCGUAUUUGACCAUUAUUUCCAGCUGUGUGAUACACUUUCAAAGAGUCGGAUUGUUUGGGAAUGCAGUCCAAAAUGGGUGGUAAAUUUCAUCUAAAGCUAAAUAUUGGCGAGAGACCGAUAGCGAACAAGUACCGUGAGGGAAAGAUGAAAAGAACUUUGAAAAGAGAGUUAAACAGUACGUGAAAUUGUCAAAAGGGAAGCGUUUGACACCAGUGUUGUUUUCUCGAAAAUCAAUUAAAAAUGAUGGGAUUUUGUGUUGUAUUGACUUUAUCAGCUUUCUGCACUUUUUUCUUGAUCUUUUUUAAUGCACUUUUCGUUUAACAAGUCAACAUCAAUUUCUUUUGUUGUAAAAGAGUCAUUGGAAGGUGGCUUUUUCUUCGGAAAAAGUGUUUAUAGCCUUUGGCUUCUGCAAUCGGAGAGAUUGAGGUCUGCAGCGUAGAUCCUUCGGGGUUAGAUACAUUUGUGCUAAGCUAUAGUUCUUUAUAGACAACUUGUUGACUAUAAUCAAUCCUGUAACUUACUCGCUUAUGCUAUUUUACCUACGCUUAGGAUGUUGAGUAGCGACAUACGCAC
rnacentral:rRNA from 1 species